ACCCAAAGAAAAUUAUUCCACUAAAAAAUGACCUGAUGUACCAUCUUAAGCCUUUGCUUCCUGGGGUGAUCUCUGAGGAGGACGUUCUGAAAGCUACUGAAAUUGCCACGAAGUUCGCGACCACCAGAGAGCUAGACUAUCUCCUGUUCCCACGGCUGAACCUGACGCAAGACAAAGAGGUCGUCUGCUUCGUAUCCAACAUGCGACGUCUGAAAGUUACGGAAGCGAUCAUCCUCCCCAAGUCACUCAAGGAGUCAAAGAAAUUUGAUUCAUUCACCCGGCCCAAGCCACUCGUGAGGUCACAAAAGAAAUCCAUUAAGAAAAGAUAUGAGUCUCAAUAUUGAAUGUGGGAUGCCUGGCCAUUUAAGACCUGGUGCUCUUCCUGAUGUGGAUUCGUGGUGAAAUGACAGUGCAACUAAGAGGUGCCUGGCUUUGCGGUGUCAUCUAUUCUGGAUUAUGAGUCUGGGUUUCUACCUUUAAAAGGGUACUCAGCAUUGGAGGAGGUCUUUGGGUAAUGUGACGGUACGUCAGCAUCCAGAAGAUGGCUUUCCAUUAUGUUUUGCUCCAGAAGAUGAUUAUGAUGUUAGGCCCAGAAGAUGACUCUCAUUGAUGAUACGUUUUGCUAUGGAAGAUGACAUUAGAAAAUGAUAUAUCUAGCUGGUUGUGUUUAGCUCUGGCAGACGACCUUGAAAUAUACUGUUAUGUUUACCUGUCCUAGGAUCCCAAUGGGU